CAAUAGCGUAUAUUUAAGUUGCUGCAGUUAAAAAGCUCGUAGUUGGAUUUCUACCGAAGAUAGCCGGUCGGGUCUUCGACCUUGUAUCUGGUUUUGUCUUUGGUAUCCUCAUAGGGAACGUUUCUGCGCUUUAUUGCGUGGUGCGGUAUCUAUGACUUUUACUUUGAGGAAAUUAGAGUGUUCACGGCAGGCAAACGCCUUGAAUAUAUUAGCAUGGAAUAAUAACAUAGGAUCUUCGUCCUAUUUUGUUGGUUUCUAGGGCUAAGAUAAUGAUUAAUAGGGAUAAUUGGGGGCAUCUGUAUCAACGCGUCAGAGGUGGAAUUCUUGGAUUGCGUUGCGACAAACUACUGCGAAAGCAUUUGCCAAGGAUGUUUUCAUUGA
rnacentral:rRNA from 1 species